rnacentral:rRNA from 1 species
UCGGGAAUUUUGGGCAAUGGGCGAAAGCCUGACCCAGCAACGCCGCGUGAGGGAUGAAGUAUUUCGGUAUGUAAACCUCGAAAGAAUGGGAAGAAUAAAUGACGGUACCAUUUAUAAGCUCCGGCUAACUACGUGCCAGCAGCCGCGGUAAUACGUAGGGAGCAAGCGUUGUUCGGAUUUACUGGGCGUAAAGGGCGCGUAGGCGGCGCGGUAAGUCACUUGUGAAAUCUCUGAGCUUAACUCAGAACGGCCAAGUGAUACUGCUGUGCUAGAGUGCGGAAGAGGCAACCGGAAUUCUUGGUGUGGCGGUGAAAUGCGUAGAUAUCAAGAGGAACCCCUGAGGCGAAGGCGGGUUGCUGGGCCGACACUGACGCUGAUGCGCGAAAGCCAGGAGAGCAAACG